rnacentral:rRNA from 1 species
AUACGUAGGUGGCGAGCGUUGUCCGGAAUUACUGGGCGUAAAGGGCGCGUAGGCGGCCUGUCAAGUCAGAUGUGAAAUCCCCGGGCUUAACCCGGGAACUGCAUUUGAAACUGGCGGGCUUGAGGGCAGGAGAGGAAAGCGGAACUCCCAGUGUAGCGGUGAAAUGCGUAGAUAUUGGGAGGAACACCAGUGGCGAAGGCGGCUUUCUGGACUGUCACUGACGCUGAGGCGCGAAAGCCAGGGAGCGAACGGGAUUAGAUACCCCGGUAGUCCUGGCUGUAAACGAUGGGUACUAGGUGUUGGGGGUAUCGACCCCUCCAGUGCCGCAGUUAACGCAAUAAGUACCCCGCCUGGGGAGUACGUUCGCAAGAAUGAA